UACGUAGGGGGCAAGCGUUGUCCGGAUUUAUUGGGCGUAAAGAGCGUGUAGGCGGCUGGGUAGGUCCGUUGUGAAAACUCGAGGCUCAACCUCGAGACGCCGAUGGAAACCCCCCAGCUAGAGUCCGGAAGAGGAGAGUGGAAUUCCUGGUGUAGCGGUGAAAUGCGCAGAUAUCAGGAGGAACACCAAUGGCGAAGGCAGCACUCUGGGACGUGACUGACGCUGAGACGCGAAAGCGUGGGGAGCAAACAGG
rnacentral:rRNA from 1 species